rnacentral:rRNA from 1 species
GACGAACGCUGGCGGCGUGCCUAAUACAUGCAAGUUGAGCGCUGAAGGUUGGUACUUGUUCCAACUGGGUUAGCAGCGAACGGGUGAGUAACGCGUGGGUAAUCUGCCUUUGAGCGGGGGACAACAUUUGGAAACGAAUGCUAAUACCGCAUAAAAACUUUAAACACAAGUUUUAAUUUUGAAAGAUGCAAUUGCAUCACUCAAAGAUGAUCCCGCGUUGUAUUAGCUAGUUGGUGAGGUAAAGGCUCACCAAGGCGAUGAUACAUAGCCGACCUGAGAGGGGGAUCGGCCACAAUGGGACUGGGACAACGCCCAAGCUCCUUCGGGGGGGAGCAGGAGGGAAUCUUCGGCAAAGGACGAAAGGCUGACCGAGCAAAGCCGGGUGAGUGAAGAAGGUUUUCGGAUCGGAAAAAUCUGUUGGUAGAGAAGAAAGUUGGUGAGAGUGGAAAGCUCAUCACGUGACGGUAACUACUCAGAAAGGGACGGCUAACUACGUG